rfam:Mannheimia haemolytica M42548, complete genome.
UCACCACCAUCAUUUACCUGAAUAAUCUUUCGGGCAUUUGGUAUGUGCGGAAGAUAAGACUUCCGAGUACGCCUAAACGCAGCAUAAAUUUAACCCUCUCGGAAGUGAUUUCGAGAGGUUUUUUUAUU